UAGUUCGGAUUGUAGGCUGAAACCCGCCUACAUGAAGCUGGAAUUGCUAGUAAUCAUAGGUCAGCAUACUAUGGUGAAUACGUUCCCGGGCCUUGUACACACCGCCCGUCACACCAUGAGAGUUGAGAAUACCCGAAGUCCAUGUCAAAGUGGCCGAAGGUAGGCUUGAUGAUUGGGGUGAAGUCGUAACAAGGUAAC
rnacentral:rRNA from 1 species